AUUGAACGCUGGCGGCAGGCCUAACACAUGCAAGUCGAGCGGCAGCGGGAAAGUAGCUUGCUACUUUUGCCGGCGAGCGGCGGACGGGUGAGUAAUGCCUGGGAAAUUGCCCAGUCGAGGGGGAUAACAGUUGGAAACGACUGCUAAUACCGCAUACGCCCUACGGGGGAAAGCAGGGGACCUUCGGGCCUUGCGCGAUUGGAUAUGCCCAGGUGGGAUUAGCUAGUUGGUGAGGUAAUGGCUCACCAAGGCGACGAUCCCUAGCUGGUCUGAGAGCAUGAUCAGCCAAACUGGAACUGAGACACGGUCCAGACUCCUACGGGAGGCAGCAGUGGGGAAUAUUGCACAAUGGGGGAAACCCUGAUGCAGCCAUGCCGCGUGUGUGAAGAAGGCCUUCGGGUUGUAAAGCACUUUCAGCGAGGAGGAAAGGUUGAUGCCUAAUACGUAUCAACUGUGACGUUACUCGCAGAAGAAGCACCGGCUAACUCCGUGCCAGCCGCCGCGGUAAAAC
rnacentral:rRNA from 1 species